rnacentral:rRNA from 1 species
AGAGUUUGAUCAUGGCUCAGGACGAACGCUGGCGGCGUGCUUAACGCAUGCAGGUCGAACGAGGUCCAUCCAGCUUGCUGGUGAAGACCUAGUGGCGAACGGGUGAGUAACACGUGAGGAACCCACCCCGGAGACCGGGAUAACCCCCCGAAAGGGGAGCUAAUACCGGAUGUCCUCAUCGGAUCGCAUGUUCUGAUGAGGAAAUGGAUUCCGCUCCGGGACGGCCUCGCGGCCUAUCAGCUUGUUGGUGGGGUAACGGCCUACCAAGGCGUCGACGGGUAGCUGGUCUGAGAGGACGGUCAGCCACACUGGGACUGAGACACGGCCCAGACUCCUACGGGAGGCAGCAGCGGGGAAUAUUGCGCAAUGGGCGAAAGCCUGACGCAGCAACGCCGCGUGAGGGAUGAAGGCUUUCGGGUUGUAAACCUCUUUCAGCAGGGACGAUUGUGACGGUACCUGCAGAAGAAGCCCCGGCCAACUACGUGCCAGCAGCCGCGGUAACACGUAGGGGGCGAGCGUUGUCCGGAUUUAUUGGGCGUAAAGAGCUCGUAGGUGGUUCGGUAAGUCGGGUGUGAAAACUCUGGGCUCAACUCAGAGACGCCACCUGAUACUGCUGUGACUUGAGUCUGGUAGGGGAGUGUGGAAUUCCCGGUGUAGCGGUGAAAUGCGCAGAUAUCGGGAGGAACACCAGUGGCGAAGGCGGCACUCUGGGCCAGUACUGACACUGAGGAGCGAAAGCGUGGGUAGCGAACAGGAUUAGAUACCCUGGUAGUCCACGCCGU